rnacentral:rRNA from 1 species
GACGAACGCUGGCGGCGUGCUUAACACAUGCAAGUCGAACGGCAAGGCCCUGCUUUUGUGGGGUGCUCGAGUGGCGAACGGGUGAGUAACACGUGAGUAACCUGCCCUUGACUUUGGUAUAACUUCAGGAAACUGGGGCUAAUACCGGAUAGGAGCUCCUGCUGCAUGGUGGGGGUUGGAACGUUUCGGCGGUUGGGGAUGGACUCGCGGCUUAUCAGCUUGUUGGUGGGGUAGUGGCUUACCAAGGCUUUGACGGGUAGCCGGCCUGAGAGGGUGACCGGCCACAUUGGGACUGAGAGACGGACCAGACUCCUACGGGAGGCAGCAGUGGGGAAUAUUGCACAAUGGGCGGAAGCCUGAGGCAGCAACGCCGCGUGCGGGAUGACGGCCUUCGGGGUGUAAACCGCUUUCGCCUGUGACGAAGCGUGAGUGACGGUAAUGGGUAAAGAAGCACCGGCUAACUACGUG